rnacentral:rRNA from 1 species
UACGGAGGGUGCAAGCGUUGUUCGGAAUUACUGGGCGUAAAGGGCGCGUAGGCGGUCUCACCAGUCCGGUGUGAAAGCCCGGGGCUUAACCCCGGAAGGGCACUGGAUACUGUGAGGCUUGAGUUCGGGAGAGGAGGGCAGAAUUCCCGGUGUAGGGGUGAAAUCCGUAGAUAUCGGGAGGAAAACCAGUGGCGAAGGCGGCCCUCUGGAACAGAACUGACGCUGAGGCGCGAAAGCGUGGGGAGCAAAC